rnacentral:rRNA from 1 species
AUGUUUCACGUGAAGAAGCUGGAUUUUACGUUUGUCCGCCUUUAUGCUUUGCACUACCUUAUCGGGGUUGAGAAGAUACCUUAUAUCUGUGUCGCUGACCCGUACUUCAUGCACGAGGGCUUCUUGGGAGUCUGUGCGGAGCACCGUGAAUACGCGAGGGACUACAUUGCCAGUUUCAUGCUCGCCAAUAAGGACAAGGAGGCGAUUCUCGUGCCUUAUCAUCCCCUCGCCGGACGCGCCAUCCUCAUCAUCCUCUACCCUCGAUACUCCCACGCUCUUUACUUGGACUCGUCGAAGAACAUUAACAAAAAGGAUUACACUGACAUCAAGUCUGUUCUCGACAAUGCUAUGUUUUACUACGGCACACGGGGUGGAGAGGUCAAGGACAAGAAGAAAAGGGACGGCAGGCCCGCCUUCGGCCAUAAGACCGACUUCUGCUGCAUCGAGCAACCGAGUGAUUCUCUUAAUGAUGGAUUCUAUGUCCUACACCACAUGCUGGAGUACAGACGGGAUCACCAGAACCUUCGCAUGUCACCUAGAUCCGGCGAUUCCCAUAUUCUGCAAUGUGCAAAGAACUUAGGAGAUAUCGAGGAUCAUCGACUUCGAGCUGAGUUCUAUCACAUCCAGCGCGAACUUGCCAAAUCAUCAUGA